CCGUCACAACCGAGCUCCCGUCUGGAAUAUUUUCCACCUCGAGAUAACGUUAGCUAGCACGCGUUUUGCCUGCGCUCAAUAUCUCUCCCGACUUAAGUCGAGUUUUUUGGAAAAUUUCUUGACGUAAGGUUAAAAACUGAAUCCCAGAUUACCAUGCCUUCGGUGAACUCGAAAGAGUUGGAUUUGGAUUCUCUCCGAGACGUAGUGAGGAACGUGUUCACCCCUCCCCCCCCUUUGGUGCCCAGUGCCGGGUGUGCAACAAGCCGCUGAAACUCACCGACGUGGAUACCAAGAACUACCACCUGCGGUGCCGCCACUGCUACAACUACACCUGGUGUGUGGCAGAUGGUUGUGAAUUUUGUUUACAAGGCUGACGUGAGGGUUCCUAUAAAAGUCCAUGAUGAACCGUCCAUGGCCCAAAAGAAGAAAAAGAAGGGGAGGGGGAAGAAGGGGAAAAACGUGAUCA